rnacentral:lncRNA from 1 species
CAGUAACCAAAUCCAACCUACUCAGCAGAAGCUGUACCACCAGCCACAGGCAGUGCUUCUAUCAUCUGGUGCAUGGUGGAGCCACAGGGAUGCCCCACAGCUGGGGUGUCACCUCACAGCUUCCUCCCCGGGUGGAGGGAUUUAAGAUGAGUCAGUCCUUUGUGAAAUACUUGGCAUACCAACAGUAUCUUCCUUCUAAUCUCCUUCUUCUGUCACCUGCCAUUGGGCUCCAAAGUGCUAGCUGGAAUUGUGGCCUACCAGAUGAAUUAAAUAGUUGCUGGAAGAGGUCUG